UUUUUGCUUCUUUAAGGAAGAGAAAGAAAAAGAAGGCUAAAGACGAUUAUCGAUAUGAAUCGCCGGCUAAUUAUUCCACCAGCAUUCCCCCACCGUCACCACCACCACCUCCACCGCCAAUGCCUCCACCACCAUCUUCCGUCUUUAAAAAAUACAAUCUCUUUAAAUCAAAAGGCAGCAAAAGCAAAAGAAUCCAUUCAGUUCCACCUCCACCGCCGCCGCUGCCGCCACCGUCGUCAGUUUCAAAACCAAAGCAAAACACUCAAUCCCCACCACCACCACCACCACCACCACCUGCACCGCCAACACCACCACUCAGACCGUCAAGAAGACGAACCACAACCAAUGCCAACAACUAUAAGCCACCAUUACCGACAACAAAACCAAGCACCAGCUUUUACCAUGUCGACGAGAAUGUAAACAGCGGAGAACAGUCACCGUUA
rnacentral:lncRNA from 1 species